UACGUAGGGGGCUAGCGUUGUCCGGAUUUAUUGGGCGUAAAGAGCGUGUAGGCGGCCAGGUAGGUCCGUUGUGAAAACUCGAGGCUUAACCUCGAGACGUCGAUGGAAACCAUCUGGCUAGAGUCCGGAAGAGGAGAGUGGAAUUCCUGGUGUAGCGGUGAAAUGCGCAGAUAUCAGGAAGAACACCCGUGGCGAAGGCGGCUUUCUGGGACGGUACUGACGCUGAGACGCGAAAGCGUGGGGAGCGAACAGG
rnacentral:rRNA from 1 species